GAUGAACGCUGGCGGCGUGCCUAAUACAUGCAAGUCGAGCGAACAGACGAGGAGCUUGCUCCUCUGACGUUAGCGGCGGACGGGUGAGUAACACGUGGAUAACCUACCUAUAAGACUGUGAUAACUUCGGGAAACCGGAGCUAAUACCGGAUAAUAUAUUGAACCGCAUGGUUCAAUAGUGAAAGACGGUUUUGCUGUCACUUAUAGAUGGAUCCGCGCCGCAUUAGCUAGUUGGUAAGGUAACGGCUUACCAAGGCAACGAUGCGUAGCCGACCUGAGAGGGUGAUCGGCCACACGGGAACUGAGACACGGUCCAGACUCCGACGGGAGGCAGCAGUAGGGAAUCUUACGCAAUGGGCGAAAGCCUGACGGAGCAACGCCGCGUGAGUGAUGAAGGUCUUCGGAUCGUAAAACUCUGUUAUUAGGGAAGAACAAAUGUGUAAGUAACUAUGCACGUAUUGACGGUACCUAAUCAGAAAGCCACGGCUAACUACGUG
rnacentral:rRNA from 1 species